CCGCACCUAGAUAGAAACUCAUAUAGCCAUGUUAUUCGAGCAAAUUCGGCCAUAGGUUCAGACUACGUUAGAGGAUUUUGUGGCCAAGUUUGAGAGGAGGAGUAUGGCAUCUAUUAAGGAAUAUAAUAGAGAGAUACUGAACAUAUAGACAACUUUGAUACUUGGAUGAGUACACGACUGCGUGAGGUAUAAACACCAGACUUGCCGG
rnacentral:lncRNA from 1 species